GUAGGCAGCAAGCGUUGUUCGGAGUUACUGGGCGUAAAGAGUGCGUAGGUGGUGCCCUAAGUCUGUUGUGAAAUCUCCCGGCUUAACUGGGAGGGUGCGGUGGAAACUGGGGUGCUUGAGUGUGGGAGAGGUAAGCGGAAUUCCUGGUGUAGCGGUGAAAUGCGUAGAUAUCAGGAGGAACACCGGUGGUGUAGACGGCUUACUGGACCACGACUGACACUGAGGCACGAAAGCGUGGGUAGCAAACAGGAUUAGAUACCCUGGUAGUCCACGCCCUAAACGAUGCAUACUUGGUGUGAGCCAUUCAUUUGGUUCGUGCCGGAGCUAACGCGUUAAGUAUGCCGCCUGGGGAGUACGGUCGCAAGGCUG
rnacentral:rRNA from 1 species